GAGUAACGCGUAGGUAACCUGCCUUGUAGCGGGGGAUAACUAUUGGAAACGAUAGCUAAUACCGCAUAACAAUGGAUGACACAUGUCAUUUAUUUGAAAGGGGCAAUUGCUCCACUACAAGAUGGACCUGCGUUGUAUUAGCUAGUAGGUGAGGUAAUGGCUCACCUAGGCGACGAUACAUAGCCGACCUGAGAGGGUGAUCGGCCACACUGGGACUGAGACACGGCCCAGACUCCUACGGGAGGCAGCAGUAGGGAAUCUUCGGCAAUGGGGGCAACCCUGACCGAGCAACGCCGCGUGAGUGAAGAAGGUUUUCGGAUCGUAAAGCUCUGUUGUAAGUCAAGAACGGGUGUGAGAGUGGAAAGUUCACACUGUGACGGUAGCUUACCAGAAAGGGACGGCUAACUACGUGCCAGCAGCCGCGGUAAUACGUAGGUCCCGAGCGUUGUCCGGAUUUAUUGGGCGUAAAGCGAGCGCAGGCGGUUUGAUAAGUCUGAAGUUAAAGGCUGUGGCUCAACCAUAGUUCGCUUUGGAAACUGUCAAACUUGAGUGCAGAAGGGGAGAGUGGAAUUCCAUGUGUAGCGGUGAAAUGCGUAGAUAUAUGGAGGAACACCGGUGGCGAAAGCGGCUCUCUGGUCUGUAACUGACGCUGAGGCUCGAAAGCGUGGGGAGCGAACAGGAUUAGAUACCCUGGUAGUCCACGCCGUAAACGAUGAGUGCUAGGUGUUGGAUCCUUUCCGGGAUUCAGUGCCGCAGCUAACGCAUUAAGCACUCCGCCUGGGGAGUACGACCGCAAGGUUGAAACUCAAAGGAAUUGACGGGGGCCCGCACAAGCGGUGGAGCAUGUGGUUUAAUUCGAAGCAACGCGAAGAACCUUACCAGGUCUUGACAUCCCGAUGCUAUUUCUAGAGAUAGAAAGUUACUUCGGUACAUCGGUGACAGGUGGUGCAUGGUUGUCGUCAGCUCGUGUCGUGAGAUGUUGGGUUAAGUCCCGCAACGAGCGCAACCCCUAUUGUUAGUUGCCAUCAUUCAGUUGGGCACUCUAGCGAGACUGCCGGUAAUAAACCGGAGGAAGGUGGGGAUGACGUCAAAUCAUCAUGCCCCUUAUGACCUGGGCUACACACGUGCUACAAUGGUUGGUACAACGAGUUGCGAGUCGGUGACGACGAGCUAAUCUCUUAAAGCCAAUCUCAGUUCGGAUUGUAGGCUGCAACUCGCCUACAUGAAGUCGGAAUCGCUAG
rnacentral:rRNA from 1 species